rnacentral:lncRNA from 12 species
CCUGAAGCCAAAGUCACAGAAAACAGGCAGAGGCACAAAAAUACAAUUCCCUCUAACAGCCUCAAAAGCCUCUCCAGACGCUCCAGGAACCCCAGCAAAGAGAAGGGAAAUAAAUAAUGAAAAUCUGUGAUGAACCCCACCCUGAACAUACCAGCGCACACAGGGCUGGGGCAGGGAGCAAUAAACGCAGCACACAAGCAGCAACACGGCAGAAGGGUGCUCGGAGCCGCUUUUUGCACAAUCCAGCACAGGAGGAUGUCACAGCUCUAUCCUGUGCAGAGAGCCACCAAGUGAAGCAAGGUGACUGAGAUCAUGCAGCAGCUGAGUGGCAGAGGCUCCAGUUCCUUUGUACCACACUGAAA